rnacentral:lncRNA from 1 species
GGGGAAGCAGACGUCGGUUUGGUGUGACACCAUGGAGGGCGGCGGGGGCAGUGGCAACAAAACCACGGGGGGGCUUGGCCGGCUUUUUGGGGGCCAGCGGAACUGGUUACUCGCACGUGGAUUUGGCCGGCAUGCGCCUAACUGGUGUGAACCCCGUCUCCUUAUUUAAAUGUCGAUCCACGAUAUCUCGUGCAGAAGUUGUCAAGCCGAUCCUAAAAUUCAGAUGAAAAUUCAAGGAAUCUAGAAUAACAAUUUUGGAAAAGAACAAAUUGGAGGACUCUUCAAUUUCAAAACUUACUACAAAGCUACAGUAAUUAAGACAUUGUGAUAUUAGCAUAAAGAUUUGAUCUAUAGAUCAGUGGAAUAAAGUUAAAAUGAAAAAAUAAAAAAAAUUAAAACAAAAUAAAAAUAAAAUAAAAUAUGAAAUUUUUAAAAAUGAAAAUGUGAAUGAACAUGUUAUCAUUGGUUUGGGAAAAGAUUAAUCAAACUGGAGAAAUUAUGAUCUAAAUGAACAAUAUAGACUUGAUGACAUGAAUUUAAAACUUUGAUAAACAAUCAAAAAGGCAGAAAACCUCCAAACAU